rfam:Hordeum vulgare subsp. vulgare, WGS project CAJW01000000 data, contig: morex_contig_1560257
UAUGUAUUCUUCCGUCCUAUAAUUCGUGUCUUAGGUUUGCCUAGAAAUGAAUGUAUCUAAAUACUAAAACAUGAUUAGAUACAUUCAUAUUUAGAGAAUUUUAAGAUAAGAAUUUUGGAAUGGAGGAGUAGAUA